UACAGAGGGGGCAAGCGUUGUUCGGAAUUACUGGGCGUAAAGGGCGCGUAGGCGGCCUUCUAAGUCGAACGUGAAAUCCCCGGGCUCAACCCGGGAACUGCGUCCGAUACUGGAAGGCUUGAAUCCGGGAGAGGGAUGUGGAAUUCCAGGUGUAGCGGUGAAAUGCGUAGAUAUCUGGAGGAACACCGGUGGCGAAGGCGACAUCCUGGACCGGUAUUGACGCUGAGGCGCGAAAGCCAGG
rnacentral:rRNA from 1 species